CAAGCUUGAGUGGAGGGGGCUUAAUAUAGUUGCGAGUAACACAUCCAGUACAACAUUGUGAGAUCGAUUCUUCAAGUUGAGUUCGAGGUUCAGUGGAAAGUGUAGUUUCAGUGAGCAACAGUAGUAGUGAGUUCAUUAGUCGUAGCUUGGCCCCUGAUUGAGAGUACUACGUGGUAUUGGCUGUUUUCCUUAAUCGAUUAUACUAUUGCGGAUCGCGGCCUGUUAGUGAGUCUUUAGAGUCAAGUAAGCAGGUAGAGCGGAGACAGCAGUAAUAGGUGGAGCAGAUCCAGCAGUCGCAGUCACAGAUAGAGCACCAGAGUCAGCAGCAAUUCUAGUCUACAAGAUCAUUAGCUAGAUCAGGAUAAAGAUCAUAAGUAUUGUUCCCACCCUAGGUAUGAUAUAUAUUGGUCAAAAAGGAGAGUAGAUAGGUAACUUAAAUAGUGGUGUCAAAGUCAAGUCUACCAGAGAUAGAAGAGAGAGAGCAGUCUUUUUAAGGAACAGAACCGACAGCUG
rnacentral:lncRNA from 1 species